CUCGGGAGUGUGGGUGUUGCCUGCAGCAGUGACAGAACACACCUCAGAGUUCAAAAUGUAUUUCUCAUUCCUGCAGUCACCAAGGUCUGGACACACCAACAAAAUGUCUUUUUUAAUGAAGACAUUGGCCGUUCACUCCGGGUUGCUCGGGAUGGUAGGGCUGAUUUCCCUGCACAUUCAUUCUGCCAAGUAAGGUACAUACUCUCUUCUGGACAUAGAGCUAAACACAGUGCUGCACAUUGAAACUCUCUAGUCAAAUAAAGCCAAGGGCAGCAACCAUAUGGAGCUAGAAGGCCUGAAGAGGUCACUGGAAACAUGCGAGGUUAAUGGCCUCGAGAUUUCAACUCUAGUGACUGACAGUCACCCUCGGAUGAAGGUGUUUACAUCAAAGGAGAUCUGCAUAAAGUACAACUUUGAUUUCUGGCACGUUGCCAGGUGUGGGUUCUGCUUUAACUUUUUUAGAAGCACAAGUACAAUUCAACCAUCUGGGCUCUCAAAUUUUAAUUCAUGAUGCAUCUG
rnacentral:lncRNA from 1 species